rnacentral:rRNA from 1 species
UACGUAGGGGGCGAGCGUUAUCCGGAUUUACUGGGUGUAAAGGGAGCGCAGGCGGCGCGCCAAGCUGGAUGUGAAAUCCCGGGGCCCAACCCCGGGACUGCAUUUGGAACUGGCGUGCUGGAGUGCGGGAGAGGCAGGCGGAAUUCCUAGUGUAGCGGUGAAAUGCGUAGAUAUUAGGAGGAACACCAGUGGCGAAGGCGGCCUGCUGGACCGUAACUGACGCUGAGGCUCGAAAGCGUGGGGAG